rnacentral:hammerhead_ribozyme from 1 species
AUACAGCUGACGAGUCCCAAAAAGGAUUAAAUGCGCGUCCUGGAU